UGGGGAAUAUUGGACAAUGGGCGAAAGCCUGAUCCAGCCAUGCCGCGUGUGUGAAGAAGGUCUUCGGAUUGUAAAGCACUUUAAGUUGGGAGGAAGGGUAGUAACUUAAUACGUUGCUACUUUGACGUUACCGACAGAAUAAGCACCGGCUAACUUCGUGCCAGCAGCCGCGGUAAUACGAAGGGUGCAAGCGUUAAUCGGAAUUACUGGGCGUAAAGCGCGCGUAGGUGGUUCAGUAAGUUGGAUGUGAAAUCCCCGGGCUCAACCUGGGAACUGCAUCCAAAACUGCUGAGCUAGAGUACGGUAGAGGGUAGUGGAAUUUCCUGUGUAGCGGUGAAAUGCGUAGAUAUAGGAAGGAACACCAGUGGCGAAGGCGACUACCUGGACUGGUACUGACACUGAGGUGCGAAAGCGUGGGGAGCAAACAGGAUUAGAUACCCUGGUAGUCCACGCCGUAAACGAUGUCAACUAGCCGCUGGGAGUCUUGAACUCUUAGUGGCGCAGCUAACGCAUUAAGUUGACCGCCUGGGGAGUACGGCCGCAAGGUUA
rnacentral:rRNA from 1 species